UACAGAGGGUGCUAGCGUUAAUCGGAAUUACUGGGCGUAAAGUGUGCGCAGGUGGCAGAGCAAGUCGAGUGUGAAAGCCCCGGGCUUAACUUGGGAAUUGCGCUCGAAACUACUUUGCUGGAGUGUGGCAGAGGAAGGUGGAAUUCCACGUGUAGCGGUGAAAUGCGUAGAGAUGUGGAGGAACACCAAUGGCGAAGGCAGCCUUCUGGGCCAACACUGACGCUCAUGCACGAAAGCGUGGGGAGCAAACAGG
rnacentral:rRNA from 1 species